AUUGAACGCUGGCGGCAUGCCUAACACAUGCAAGUCGAGCGGAUGAAGGGAGCUUGCUCCUGUAUUCAGCUGCGGACGGGUGAGUAAUGCCUAGGAAUCUGCCUUGUAGUGGGGGAUAACGUCCGGAAACGGGCGCUAAUACCGCAUACGUCCUGAGGUAGAACGUGGGGGAUCUUCGGACCUCACGCUAUCAGAUGAGCCUAGGUCGGAUUAGCUAGUUGGUGGGGUAAAGGCCUACCAAGGCGACGAUCCGUAACUGGUCUGAGAGGAUGAUCAGUCACACUGGAACUGAGACACGGUCCAGACGCCUACGGGAGGCAGCAGUGGGGAAUAUUGGACAAUGGGCGAAAGCCUGAUCCAGCCAUGCCGCGUGUGUGAAGAAGGUCUUCGGAUUGUAAAGCACUUUAAGUUGGGAGGAAGGGCAGUAAGUUAAUACCUUGCUGUUUUGACGUUACCAACAGAAUAAGCACCGGCUAACUUCGUG
rnacentral:rRNA from 1 species